UACGGGGGGAGCAAGCGUUGUUCGGAUUUACUGGGCGUAAAGGGCGCGUAGGCGGCCAGCACAAGUCAGUUGUGAAAUCUCCGAGCUUAACUCGGAACGGUCAACUGAUACUGUGCGACUAGAGUGCAGAAGGGGCAACUGGAAUUCUUGGUGUAGCGGUGAAAUGCGUAGAUAUCAAGAGGAACACCUGCGGCGAAGGCGGGUUGCUGGGCUGACACUGACGCUGGAGGCGCGAAAGCUAGGGGAGCGAACGGG
rnacentral:rRNA from 1 species